CACGUAGGGACCAAGCGUUGUCCGGAUUCAUUGGGCGUAAAGAGCUCGUAGGCGGUUCGAUAAGUCGGGUGUGAAACCUCCAGGCUCAACCUGGAGACGCCACCCGAUACUGUCGUGACUAGAGUCCAGUAGGGGAGCGUGGAAUUCCUGGUGUAGCGGUGAAAUGCGCAGAUAUCAGGAAGAACACCGGUGGCGAAGGCGGCUCUCUGGGCCUUACCUGACGCUGGAG
rnacentral:rRNA from 1 species